rnacentral:rRNA from 1 species
AAUGAACGCUGGCGGCGUGCCUAAUACAUGCAAGUCGAGCGAACAGACGAGGAGCUUGCUCCUCUGACGUUAGCGGCGGACGGGUGAGUAACACGUGGAUAACCUACCUAUAAGACUGGGAAAACUUCGGGAAACCGGAGCUAAUCCCGGAUAAUAUAUUGAACCGCAUGGUUCAAUAGUGAAAGACGGUUUUGCUGUCUCUUAUAGAUGGAUCCGCGCCGCAUUAGCUAGUUGGUAAGGUAACGGCUUACCAAGGCAACGAUGCGUAGGCGACCUGAGAGGGUGGUCGGCCACACGGGAACUGAGACACGGUCCAGACUCCUACGGGAGGCAGCAGUAGGGAAUCUUCCGCAAUGGGCGAAAGCCUGACGGAGCAACGCCGCGUGAGUGAUGAAGGUCUUCGGAUCGUAAAACUCUGUUAUUAGGGAAGAACAAAUGUGUAAGUAACUAUGCACGUCUUGACGGUACCUAAUCAGAAAGCCACGGCUAACUACGUG